rnacentral:rRNA from 1 species
UACGUAGGGGGCAAGCGUUGUCCGGAAUCAUUGGGCGUAAAGAGUGUGUAGGCGGCUUGGUAAGUCUGCUCUGAAAGCCAGGGGCUCAACCCCUGGAGGCGGGUGGAUACUGUCAAGCUUGAGUCCGGAAGAGGCGAGUGGAAUUCCCGGUGUAGCGGUGAAAUGCGCAGAUAUCGGGAGGAACACCAAUGGCGAAGGCAGCUCGCUGGGACGUGACUGACGCUGAGACACGAAAGCGUGGGGAGCAAAC